rnacentral:hammerhead_ribozyme from 1 species
AUCCAGCUGUCCAAUCACAAAUAGGACGAAACGCGCGUCAAACUGGAU